rnacentral:misc_RNA from 1 species
CAUGACCUAUAUGUUCAAGUAUGAUACAGUUCAUGGGCAAUGGAAGCAUCAUGAGAUCAAGGUGAAGGACUCAAAGACUCUUCUUUUCGGAGAGAAGGCAGUUGCAGUCUUUGGAUGCAGGAACCCUGAGGAAAUCCCAUGGGGUGAGGCUGGUGCGGAUUAUGUGGUGGAGUCCACUGGUGUCUUCACCGACAAAGACAAAGCUGCUGCCCAUCUAAAGGGUGGCGCCAAGAAGGUUAUUAUCUCUGCACCCAGCAAAGAUGCCCCGAUGUUUGUCGUUGGUGUAAACGAGCAUGAGUACACCUCGGAUAUCAAUAUUGUGUCCAACGCUAGUUGCACUACCAACUGUCUCGCUCCAUUGGCCAAGGUCAUCCAUGAUAGGUUUGGCAUUCUUGAGGGUUUGAUGACCACCGUGCACGCAAUUACCGCCACUCAAAAGACGGUUGAUGGGCCAUCUAGCAAGGACUGGAGGGGUGGAAGAGCUGCCAGUUUUAACAUCAUUCCUAGCAGCACU